UUUAGAAAUCCCACAAGCUCUGUUAAAUCCAUGGGAAAUCCAAAGGGAAGGGUUAUCCCCCUCACUCCCUCUGGUCUCUGGAAGACAGAUUCACCUAAUACAAAUCUCUGGUGAAAGAAGUGAAAUGAGGAAAAAAAGAAGUUAGAAUCAGGUUCCUUUUCUCCUCAGUAACACACCAGGUCUCUUAAGAAGCCACCCUUGAAGCUCCAGGAGAGUUUCACCUUGAGCAAACCCAUGUUAUGUGAUGUGGCAAAGACACACCCUGAAAGAGACAGGUAGGAAUUUGGCUCUAGAGCUACUUCUACUGGAAAACAAAGGAGUUUCUGUGAUAGUCUGGAACAAGUGCCAGUUAAAGGGUAUGAACUCUUUUCAUACUGCAUCAGCUGCAGAAUAUUGCCAGCAAAAUUCGUGCAAGCCAUCGGUAGCUUUUCGCACCCUUCAUAACCAGGCAGGCUCGGGGCAGUGGGGUGAAGCAGCCCAACAAAUGGAGAGAACAAGGAAAAGAAGUAACUUUUUCUUGUCCAUUGGCUUCUCCCUCAGCAGUGCACUUUGAGAGUGACAUCCAGGGAUGCAGCAAUGCAUCUCUAUGGGACUCGAAAGACCAGAGCACAAGGAAACGGUGUGAGGGCUGUGGCUGGAAUCCUCUGGGCAUCAUGGCUAGUGUGAUUGCUGCAGCGUGUGCUGCCUUCCAGGAGGCAUGACAGCUGCAUCACACCAGCGAUAAUGAAGUAGGAGAGGAUGUAAAGGGGCAGAUAUUGACUGGCUCAGGUCUUCCUUGCUCUGAGGCCCAGCACCAGAAGCUGCUGCUGCUGUGAUUCCAGCGUUGGUAUCCGCAGCACUUCAGAGCGGAUCAGGUUCAAGUACUUUUUUGCUGGGUUGUUCUGUCUAUUCGCUAGCUCGUGGAGAUAAAUUAUGAUGUCAAAACAGAGAGAUGUUGUCACACAACCAUCUCCCCUUCUGGGGUCAAGGUUCUGCUUCAUAGCUUGGAAACCCAUUAGUCCAUUUGAAAGCAUGUGGCCAAGAACGGAUGGGGAGGGGGGGUGGAAAAAAGUCUUGUGUGUUUGGGUCAGAGCCACAGACAAAAGGCUCUUUGUGCUGAGAGCUGACAAUGACAAAUAAAGAGGAACCUGUUGAUCUAGGAGAGAAAUGGAGGAUUAUGGAAAGAUCACAUGGUGGGGAAAAGACCUUGGCUGCUUGUCUGGAUGUCAGUCUCUCCCGUCACUAAAAUGCUUUCUGCAGCCACGGCAUAGUUGUUAACAGAAAUGCUGUCUUCUGCUCACGUGGUUGGGGGUGGUUUUCUCUAGCUUGCAAGAUGCCACCUGUGCCUAAAUGCCUCCCUUUCAUGAGAUCACAUCAGAGAGGUGAUAUGCUCUUCCCAGGGUCCUCGCUGGGUCUUGGGUGGAAGGCAGAUUAAUUAGUGUUUGCAAACCUCUCUGACUAGAAACAGUAAACGCUGAAAAAUAGUGUCUGUCCAGCCACGGGACAUAAAUACCGGCCACAAAGAAAAGGCAGUAACAAAUCCCCUGUAAUUCCACCAAGUUACUGGAAGUAACCCAAGAGCUAUGUCUAAUGCUAAUCAUAAGAGUAUUUCCCAAAGGUAACAUUUGAUUCCCAUCCAAACCCAAACAUAUUUGAAGCUGUGCCUGAACGUUGUCGUGCAGCAGAUUAACUGGGGCGGUUUAAUCUGUGAAUAACUCCGUAAAGCCUUCAGCCAACUCUGAAGAAACAGCAACGGUCUUGACAAGACUGGACUACAAAACACUUCCCAGAUAAAGCGUGUUUUUCAGAGGAAGCCAGGGGAAAGGCUUCGGCGGCUGUUGCACACGCAUCUGGCAAACGCGUCUUUCUGAUCGGUGUGCGGAGAACGUGCUGAACAGAAACAUUUAUAUUGAACAUCGAUGGGCUGCCUGCAACGACCUCCAGAGUCUGUGAAGUGCACCAGAGAUUUAAAAGGGAAAAGAAAUCUAUGAGAGCCCAUUAUGUCCUGGAAUGUAUCCGAGCCCAUCAGCGGAGGGAGUGCCGGCAGCUCCCUGCGCUUGCUGUGCUGAAGGAGACCUAUGGAAACACGGUUAAUCCCAAAUAAAGGGGGUGGGUGCGUGGGGGAGAUAACACCAGAAUGCUUUUUAUCUGGUUUUAUUUCUCUUUACAGCUGUGAUGGGGAAAGGGGACUGGAAAAUGAGACCCAAAGGGAGAGGUCCCUGGCUGUUCUUUAAGCGCCGGUCUGCGAUCAAUGCAGAUAAUGCGCUUGGAAGGACUGUCUCGUUUACUGGUUUUCAGUAAACUGCUGGGCUGUGCUUCCCAGUGAUAACGUGAUGGUCGUGUCUGUGCCAGUAGGAAUACACUUUAAAGCAAAAAGAAAGAAAGAAGCUUGCAGUUCCUUGCAAGCAGAGUGUGGAUAGUUGAGUCUGGGAUGCCCCAAAUCCCAUACAUGGAUGGAGAAACAUCUGAGGCCGCUGUGUGUUUCUCUGUAGCUUAUUCCAAAGACACAACAAACUGUACCUCAACACAAUAUCCUCCCCAAGAGAGGAACACGGUCUCCUGCUCGCUACAGCCUCUCUGGCACACCAGAGCAUUCCAGCUCCAUCAUCUCUCAUCCAAGAAUCCCAAAGUGCUUUCCAGACGUUAAUUAAUUUCCUCUCACCAGGCCAGGGAGAUACCUAUUAUUAUCAUCUCCAUGUCACAACGGAGUCAUUCCGAGUGCAUUUCUACCCCGUGACUUGGUCCAAAUGAGAGGCGAAGUUAAUGACGAGAUGAGACCGUUCAGAGACAGCGUGACUCCAGCAAUCCAUGAGAACAAUGCAAAGUUCAAAAAUAGCAGUAUUGACUGGUGGAAAAACAACAUACAUAUAAUUUUCAGGACUUGUUAGGAAUGAUUUGGUAUCUGUAGGAAGUAGCAUCUCAAGCAUUGGGACCUUGCAGUCUUACAUAAAAUCCCUUUUGAUUGGAACGAAGGAGUUUGUCGCCAUUGAAACUCGGUUUCAUUGAUGCUGUAAGUCUGUGGAGCUCAACUGAAAGUCUGCCUCACCUCUCUGAGGGUUAUUUUGGAAAUAGAUGUAGCUUUCUGCAGGUUUCUGGCCUCGUCUUUGAAUAGUUCUUGGCCAAUUUCAUGCUUCUGAAGCAUCCGACUCAAGGCCUUGCUUGGCUUUGAUAAGGCCCCUGUUGCAGUUGCUUUUGACUCUUUCCUCACGUGCUGCAUCCCCACGUGAUGGAAACGGCUGCAAGUGACAAAAAAAUCCCAGUUGGCUUUCAGCAAAGUGGAAUUUUGUUGACCAAAACAAAGAAAACAUGGACUUGGCUCAGCCAAAGGAAGUGCUUUUGCAGGAGUGGAUGGAUAGCUCAGGGACGACCAUUUCUUCUCAGGGUGGAAAAAAGCUAUUCUAGCUGUAUUCUUUUAAUUUUAAAAAAAGAGAAUUCAAAUAAAAGCCCAGAGGUACAUGCAGCACCAGCUCCACAGUGGCAGUUUUCCUGGGUAAAAGUUCCACAAGUUAACUGGAGGUAAGUUAAACUAAACGCUGCAAGGCCAGUCGGAUGCUGUUCCCUUCUUAGCAAUCCCCGGUGAUGUAAAACUCCUCUAGUGGAAAUGAGUUUGGCAGUGGAGACUUCUGUCAUUACACACACAAUUAAAGGAGGCUAUGUGGAUGCCUUUUGCAUGACAGCACUGUGGCUGGUUUGGAGGUAACCCCAGCACUUUUCUUUUCCUGCACCUGUGUUCUAUAAAGGUGCAAAACCUGAAAAGCACCAGGCCAAACGAUGGCUGUGAGCUGUGUGUGGUGCCGCUGUGGGAGGCUGAGACCCAGGAGGGACAAGGGGGAAGACCUGGUUCUGUUCCUGCUUACCUUAGUCUCCAUUUGACAGGACUCAUACUGGGUUUGACACAGUUCAGAUAUGGAAGAGCUGAAUUAUGAAGGCCAGGCUUUAAGAACAUUAGCAGAACAGGAGCAAGCACAUACCAUCCAUUGAUAUUGGGGUGGAAAAGACUAAGCAAAUAGUUUUAAAGAAUGGGCUAAUUGUUG